rnacentral:rRNA from 1 species
CAGUAAGGGCGACUGAACGGGGAGGAGCCCAGCGCGGAACCUCGCGCGCCUCGCCGGCUGCGUCUGAGGAAUGUCGCGUUCCGGAGGGGCCUUCUCCGACCACACCGACCCCCCCCAAGUCCGCUUGAACGCGGCCACUGCCCACGGAGGGUGCGAGGCCCGUACGGGGAUUAGGAGUCGGGCGGUCGGACGGCCCCGUCCGUAGAGUCGGGUUGCCUACUAACGCAGCCCAAAGCAGGUGGUAAAC